rnacentral:rRNA from 1 species
CCAACCGGGAUUGCCCCAGUAACGGCGAGUGAAGCGGCAAAAGCUCAAAUUUGGAAUCCUGCGGGAGUUGUAAUUUGAAGACCGCGAGGCGGCCGCGCGGCCCCGUGCAAGUCCAUUGGAACAUGGCGCCAAGGAGGGUGAGAGCCCCGUGGCACGGCGGCAGUGCGGCCACUCAGCUUCGCGGCCAAAGAGUCGAGUUGUUUGGGAAUGCAGCUCCAAGUGGGUGGUAAAUUCCAUCUAAAGCUAAAUACAGGCGAGAGACCGAUAGCGAACAAGUACAGUGAUGGAAAGAUGAAAAGCACUUUGAAAAGAGAGUGAAACAGUACGUGAAAUUGUUGGAAGGGAAGGGCUUGCAAGCAGACACAACCUCGGUUGGGCCAGCAUCGGGGCGGCGGAGAGCAAAACGGGCGGUGAAUGUGGCGCCACUCCUUCUGGGGGUGGCGUGUUUAUAGCGCCGCCAAAUGCCCUCACGGCGCCCCGAGGCCAGCGCAUUUCGCAAGGAUGCUGGCGUAAUGGUUGCAAGUCGCCCCUCUUGAAACA